rnacentral:rRNA from 1 species
GACGAACGCUGGCGGCGUGCUUAACACAUGCAAGUCGAACGGUAAGGCCCCAGCUUGCUGGGGUACACGAGUGGCGAACGGGUGAGUAACACGUGGGUGACCUGCCCCGCACUUCGGGAUAAGCCUGGGAAACUGGGUCUAAUACCGGAUAGGACCGCACCGUGAGGGUGUGGUGGAAAGUUUUUCGGUGUGGGAUGGGCCCGCGGCCUAUCAGCUUGUUGGUGGGGUAAGGGCCUACCAAGGGGGCGACGGGUAGCCGGCCUGAGAGGGUGGACGUCCACAUUGGUGCUGGGACACGGCCCAGACUCUUACGGGGGGCAGCAGUGGGAAAUAUUGCACAAUGGGCGGAUGCCUGAUGCAGCGGCGCCGCGUGGGGGAUGACGGCCUUCGGGUUGUAAACUCCUUUCACCAUCGACGAAGGUUUUCUGACGGUAGAUGGAGAAGAAGCACCGGCUAACUACGUGCCAGCAGCCGCCGUAA